rnacentral:snRNA from 1 species
AGCUUUGCACAGUGGCAGUAUCAUAACCAAUGAAGUUAAUCUGAGAGUGUGAUUAUUGCUACUGAAAAUCUGCUCCUUUCCUGGUGAGAUGGUACAGUACUACUGGAACAGCAGAAACUGUUACCAUCUCCCCCUUUUGUUACACUCACCAGU